ACCAGCUCUCAUCUUGACACCUUGACUAAAUGUCAACUUUGGGAAUUCUAAACUUCCAUAUGCAGUUCCUGUUCAAGAUUAUGAAAAUCAAUGUUCUGAGUAAGAGGAAAAAUAAUCAUCAAACUAUCAACAACACAUUGUGAUUUGUGAGUCAACAAAGUUAUUUUAGAUACUUCCAGCAAGCAAUAUCAAGGAAGAUUGGUGUAUAAACUUCUCUUCACACCUUCAAAUUAACUGUUGUGUAAAUUACUUAACCAUGUCCCUGGUUAGACAAAGGCUUAUUGGAUAGCUGAUAGAACCUAACACUUAAAAAAUAUUCUUUCUAUUAAAGUAGCAUGGCCACACAUUACAAACCAACUUUUCACAAUUACAUAUUUCUGUAAGAAAAAAAAAAUUCAAACAACAAUAUGAGAAUUAUUUAUGUGGUUUAUGCAAGCUUUUCCUUUUUUGUAUUUAUGACAAAAAAGCUGGAUAAUACAAGCCAUAGAACACAUGUCCAACCUGAUAAUUGACCA
rnacentral:misc_RNA from 1 species